AUGCCGUUUUUGCGUGGUGUACCUCCACUAUUGCUCCAUCCCACCCCAACGCCCUCUUCCUCGAGUGGUGGCUUUGAUGCUCUGGCCACAUCAUCUUAUUCCUCCUGCCGCAAAGGUUUCUCUUCCCUCUUUCUUUUGACGGCACGAAAUCUCUGGAAGCAUCGGAAUCGGUGCGUCUUCGAUGGUCUACGACCCUCCUUAAGCCACCUCUUACAGCUCAUCAAGGAUGAAAUUCAACUAUGAGCGCAAGCAGGUGUUUUUGGCCUAGCCAAGAUCAUUAGAGAGUAG
rnacentral:rRNA from 1 species